CGAGCUGGACAGAUGAUUACCCCGACGUCACGUCGGGGAGGAAAGUCCGAACACCGAGGCGACAGCAAUGUCGUCGGAAAGCGAGAGCCGCUAACGGCGGCCGGGAUAUGGCGGAAUAGACGAUGUCAUCGUAUCAAGUCGCGUAAAAACGACGAGAUGCGUCCAAAGCCUUUCCGUAAACCCAGGGAAAGUCCCGAUGCAAAUCGGGAUCCCGAACGAGUCCGAGCUUGCUCGGAUGAGCAUCGGGAUGCCACAGAGACUAUACUAUCCCCCACCGCUCUUCGGAGCUUUGGAGGAGAAAGGUGAAAAGUGAAACGAGGUGGUUCGACGCAAGUCGACUGCUACGCUUCUCCGCCGCUGGUGACAGCGGUGCGUGGUAAACCCUCUCUGGUGCAAGAGCAAGAUCCGAUCCGCGGCUUCGGCUGCGGUGAAGAACUGGUAGCUCGCUUGAGCCGUGCAGCAAUGCACGUGCCAGAUAGAUGAUCAUCCGGUUGACGCAAGUCAGCCGACAAAAUUCGGCUUAUCGUCCAGCUCAAACA
rnacentral:RNase_P_RNA from 1 species